GAUGUUACAGAACUGUGAUCACAUGGUGUCAGUAAGUAAGGGGGAUAAUCACAGUGCUACACAGGGAGGUGAUGUUACAGAACUGUGAUCACAUGGUGUCAGUAAGUAAGGGGGAUAAUCACAGUGCUACACAGGGAGGUGAUGUUACAGAACUGUGAUCACAUGGUGUCAGUAAGUAAG